CCUACGGGAGGCUGCAGUGGGGAAUAUUGCACAAUGGGGGCAACCCUGAUGCAGCGACGCCGCGUGAGUGAGGAAGUAUUUCGGUAUGUAAAGCUCUAUCAGCAGGGAAGAAAAUGACGGUACCUGACUCAGAAGCCCCGGCUAACUACGUGCCAGCAGCCGCGGUAAUACGUAGGGGGCAAGCGUUAUCCGGAUUUACUGGGUGUAAAGGGAGCGUAGACGGCUAAUCAAGUCAGAAGUGAAAACCCGGGGCUCAACUUUGGGACUGCUUUUGAAACUGAGUAGCUAGAGUGCAGGAGAGGUAAGCGGAAUUCCUAGUGUAGCGGUGAAAUGCGGAGAUAUUAGGAGGAACACCAGUUGCGAAGGCGGCUUACUGGACUGUAACUGACGUUGAGGCUCGAAAGCGUGGGGAGCAAACAGGAUUAGAUACCCCAGUAGUC
rnacentral:rRNA from 1 species